UACGGCCAUAUAGCGUUGAAACACCGGUCCCCACUCCCUUCGUACGAUCACCGAUGUUAAGCGUUCGUCGAGCCUGGUCAGUAUCUCGAUGUAUGACCGUUUGGGAAUACCAGGCGCUGUAG